UGCCCCAGGGAAUGAACCUUCCCCCUCCAGGUGCAACGGGAGACCCGGGGUUUAGGAGCCCAGCUCUGCUGCACCAUUUUCACCCGAGGAGUGCGGCCCCACUGCCGACAGGUGCUGUCCUGCGGGCCAAGGACGGCCUGUAGGGGCAGGGACACGUGGCUCUGUCCCUGCGGAGCAAGCCAGAGAGGGCCCAGAUGCAACCCAGGGAGGGACUCCGUUACCUACUGCAGGUGGGGGCAGGGCAGGGCCCGCUGGGAGACGGACGCCACGCAUGACCAGGCGAUGGGCAGCGGGAGGACGUCCAGGCCUGGGAGCCCGGCACGGCCGCGGCAGGUUCUUUCUGUGCCUGGGGCACCGAGCCCACAGGAUCUGCGCGUCUCUGAGCCGCCAGCUCAGCGAGGUUCCCUUCCAGAGACCCCUCGAUACAAAGACCGUGGCAGCGUGGAGAGCUCAGGGAGGCAUUUUGCUGCUAGAAGGUGGUCCUGAUGGGACAGGGGAAAAUCGCUCCCUGACCCGGGGCUUUUCCGGCAGCGGAGAAGAACCAUCUC